UACGGUCGCAUCAGGUCGAAACACCUGGUUCCGUACCAUAACCGAAGUUAAGCAAUGUCGGGCCUGGUCAGUACCUGGAUGGGUGACCACUUUAGAAGACCAGGUGCUGUAAU